UGCUAUGUACAUUCUUAAAGUUGGAACAUG
rnacentral:piRNA from 1 species